rnacentral:rRNA from 1 species
GGUUAAGCGACUAAGCGUACACGGUGGAUGCCCUGGCAGUCAGAGGCGAUGAAGGACGUGCUAAUCUGCGAUAAGCGUCGGUAAGGUGAUAUGAACCGUUAUAACCGGCGAUUUCCGAAUGGGGAAACCCAGUGUGAUUCGUCACACUAUCAUUAACUGAAUCCAUAGGUUAAUGAGGCGAACCGGGGGAACUGAAACAUCUAAGUACCCCGAGGAAAAGAAAUCAACCGAGAUUCCCCCAGUAGCGGCGAGCGAACGGGGAGCAGCCCAGAGCCUGAAUCAGUGUGUGUGUUAGUGGAAGCGUCUGGAAAGGCGCGCGAUACAGGGUGACAGCCCCGUACACAAAAAUGCACAUACUGUGAGCUCGAUGAGUAGGGCGGGACACGUGGUAUCCUGUCUGAAUAUGGGGGGACCAUCCUCCAAGGCUAAAUACUCCUGACUGACCGAUAGUGAACCAGUACCGUGAGGGAAAGGCGAAAAGAACCCCGGCGAGGGGAGUGAAAAAGAACCUGAAACCGUGUACGUACAAGCAGUGGGAGCACAGAGCAAUCUGUGUGACUGCGUACCUUUUGUAUAAUGGGUCAGCGACUUAUAUUCUGUAGCAAGGUUAACCGAAUAGGGGAGCCGAAGGGAAACCGAGUCUUAACUGGGCGUUAAGUUGCAGGGUAUAGACCCGAAACCCGGUGAUCUAGCCAUGGGCAGGUUGAAGGUUGGGUAACACUAACUGGAGGACCGAACCGACUAAUGUUGAAAAAUUAGCGGAUGACUUGUGGCUGGGGGUGAAAGGCCAAUCAAACCGGGAGAUAGCUGGUUCUCCCCGAAAGCUAUUUAGGUAGCGCCUCGUGAAUUCAUCUCCGGGGGUAGAGCACUGUUUCGGCAAGGGGGUCAUCCCGACUUACCAACCCGAUGCAAACUGCGAAUACCGGAGAAUGUUAUCACGGGAGACACACGGCGGGUGCUAACGUCCGUCGUGAAGAGGGAAACAACCCAGACCGCCAGCUAAGGUCCCAAAGUCAUGGUUAAGUGGGAAACGAUGUGGGAAGGCCCAGACAGCCAGGAUGUUGGCUUAGAAGCAGCCAUCAUUUAAAGAAAGCGUAAUAGCUCACUGGUCGAGUCGGCCUGCGCGGAAGAUGUAACGGGGCUAAACCAUGCACCGAAGCUGCGGCAGCGACACUAUGUGUUGUUGGGUAGGGGAGCGUUCUGUAAGCCUGCGAAGGUGUGCUGUGAGGCAUGCUGGAGGUAUCAGAAGUGCGAAUGCUGACAUAAGUAACGAUAAAGCGGGUGAAAAGCCCGCUCGCCGGAAGACCAAGGGUUCCUGUCCAACGUUAAUCGGGGCAGGGUGAGUCGACCCCUAAGGCGAGGCCGAAAGGCGUAGUCGAUGGGAAACAGGUUAAUAUUCCUGUACUUGGUGUUACUGCGAAGGGGGGACGGAGAAGGCUAUGUUGGCCGGGCGACGGUUGUCCCGGUUUAAGCGUGUAGGCUGGUUUUCCAGGCAAAUCCGGAAAAUCAAGGCUGAGGCGUGAUGACGAGGCACUACGGUGCUGAAGCAACAAAUGCCCUGCUUCCAGGAAAAGCCUCUAAGCAUCAGGUAACAUCAAAUCGUACCCCAAACCGACACAGGUGGUCAGGUAGAGAAUACCAAGGCGCUUGAGAGAACUCGGGUGAAGGAACUAGGCAAAAUGGUGCCGUAACUUCGGGAGAAGGCACGCUGAUAUGUAGGUGAAGCGACUUGCUCGUGGAGCUGAAAUCAGUCGAAGAUACCAGCUGGCUGCAACUGUUUAUUAAAAACACAGCACUGUGCAAACACGAAAGUGGACGUAUACGGUGUGACGCCUGCCCGGUGCCGGAAGGUUAAUUGAUGGGGUCAGCGCAAGCGAAGCUCUUGAUCGAAGCCCCGGUAAACGGCGGCCGUAACUAUAACGGUCCUAAGGUAGCGAAAUUCCUUGUCGGGUAAGUUCCGACCUGCACGAAUGGCGUAAUGAUGGCCAGGCUGUCUCCACCCGAGACUCAGUGAAAUUGAACUCGCUGUGAAGAUGCAGUGUACCCGCGGCAAGACGGAAAGACCCCGUGAACCUUUACUAUAGCUUGACACUGAACAUUGAGCCUUGAUGUGUAGGAUAGGUGGGAGGCUUUGAAGUGUGGACGCCAGUCUGCAUGGAGCCGACCUUGAAAUACCACCCUUUAAUGUUUGAUGUUCUAACGUUGACCCGUAAUCCGGGUUGCGGACAGUGUCUGGUGGGUAGUUUGACUGGGGCGGUCUCCUCCUAAAGAGUAACGGAGGAGCACGAAGGUUGGCUAAUCCUGGUCGGACAUCAGGAGGUUAGUGCAAUGGCAUAAGCCAGCUUGACUGCGAGCGUGACGGCGCGAGCAGGUGCGAAAGCAGGUCAUAGUGAUCCGGUGGUUCUGAAUGGAAGGGCCAUCGCUCAACGGAUAAAAGGUACUCCGGGGAUAACAGGCUGAUACCGCCCAAGAGUUCAUAUCGACGGCGGUGUUUGGCACCUCGAUGUCGGCUCAUCACAUCCUGGGGCUGAAGUAGGUCCCAAGGGUAUGGCUGUUCGCCAUUUAAAGUGGUACGCGAGCUGGGUUUAGAACGUCGUGAGACAGUUCGGUCCCUAUCUGCCGUGGGCGCUGGAGAACUGAGGGGGGCUGCUCCUAGUACGAGAGGACCGGAGUGGACGCAUCACUGGUGUUCGGGUUGUCAUGCCAAUGGCACUGCCCGGUAGCUAAAUGCGGAAGAGAUAAGUGCUGAAAGCAUCUAAGCACGAAACUUGCCCCGAGAUGAGUUCUCCCUGACUCCUUGAGAGUCCUGAAGGAACGUUGAAGACGACGACGUUGAUAGGCCGGGUGUGUAAGCGCAGCGAUGCGUUGAGCUAACCGGUACUAAUGAACCGUGAGGCUUAACCUU